rnacentral:rRNA from 1 species
GCCGUAGGAUGCAAUCGUUGUCCGGAUUUAUUGGGCGUAAAGAGUUCGUAGGUGGUUUGUUAAGUCUGAUGUUAAAGACUGGGGCUCAACCUCGGAAAUGCAUUGGAUACUGGCAGACUUGAGUGUGGUAGAGGCAAUCGGAAUUCCAGGUGUAGCGGUGAAAUGCGUAGAUAUCUGGAAGAACACCGGUGGCGCAAGCGGAUUGCUGGGCCAUAACUGACACUGAGGAACGAAAGCUAGGGUAGAGAAAGGG